UUGCUGCUGCAGCUUGUGGUGGUGUUGGUGGUGUUGUUGGUGGUGUUGUUGUUGUUGGCGGCGGCGGAGGCGGCGGAGGCGGCGAUGUUGGCGACAGACGGCCAUUCGAUCUGGCAACCAGACGGACGAAGCGUGAAGCAUUGCGUGUUCUUGUUGGUGGCGACGACGUUGAGCAGCUUCAGGCAGUCCUUCACCUGGCCGAUGUUGUGAGAGUUAAAGACGAUUUCUAUUUGGCGUACGAACCUGCCACAGCGAGCCGCCAGGAACUUGGACCUCUGGCGACGGACAGCGGGAGUGAGCUCGAGCACGAGACGCGGCCAGAGCGACGGGUGGAAAAGACAGCAUCGCCAACGCUUACAUACCGUACUGGCACGGAUCCUGUCUUCGAGCGAAAGGUUCUAUAUGUGACUGCUUAAUCACACCAUGUGCAAAAGAAGCCUUGGAACUGUCUGAAUUCCAAAGAGGCUGUAUUGUGGGUCACUCUGAAGGUGGACAUAGUGUAAAGUCACAGAAAACUUGCAGUCCUGCCUUCUACAGUUAAUAGAGUGAUUGUGCAAUUCACCAGAGAAGGGAAGGAGUCUACAUCACCUCCUGUCAGAGUCUUCUGACAGGACACUUUGCUUUAUGGAGGAUAAUCCUCAUUGUAAGGCCUCUGACAUAGCAGAACAAGUUAAUAUUAGUCCCAGAAAAGCUGUCAGGUAUCUCCAAAAACUUGGCUACUAUGGCAAAGCAGCAAGAAGGAAGCCACAACUUCAACCAGCUAAUAUCAAGUGUAGAAGAUAUUGGGUCAGUGAGAUGGUGGCAAGGCCACAAGCACUUUGGGACACUGUCAUAUUCUCUGAGUCCAGAUUUGUAUUUCUUGACAGUGGUCAAGUGUGGGUCUUGAGACACUGUGAUCAAGAAUUUGAUGUGAAAAGAUUCCAGCCAACAAUGAAACAGAGCAACUAUUCUGUGAUGGUCUGGGGAGCAGUUAGGAGCAAUGGUCGAUCAGAGCUGGUGGAGUGUGAGGGAAACAUAGACUCAGAUACAUAUGUGUCUAUAUUGCAGAAAGGUCUCCUUCCAAUCUUCCUCAGUGGUGAAGUGAUUAAAGAAGACUAUUUAUGGAAGAUAGAGCACUUUGUCACACGGCUAAAAUGACCCAAGAUUUAUUGGAUGAAAAUGGCAUCAAAAAGCUUCCAUGGCCAAGCUAGUCACCAGAUAUAAACCCUAUUAAACACCUCUGGAACAUAAUGGAUAGGACACUUCAUAAAAAGAACAAGAAAGCAUCUUCACAUCCAAAUCUUUUGAGAUUAUUACAUGACACUUGGCAAGAAAUUUCACAAGAAAAUAUUCAUCAUCUGAUCAGUAGCAUACCUAAUAGGUUCCUGGCAUUGAAAAAUGCAAAGUAUUAAAUAGUCGCAUUAUAACAAUUAAUAGAUAAUUUAAAUGUAUAAUUUCAGGUUUAAAUAAAUUUUAAUGAGUA